GGGAGAAAGCAGGGGACCUUCGGGCCUUGCGCUAUCAGAUGAGCCUAGGUCGGAUUAGCUAGUUGGUGAGGUAAUGGCUCACCAAGGCGACGAUCCGUAACUGGUCUGAGAGGAUGAUCAGUCACACUGGAACUGAGACACGGUCCAGACUCCUACGGGAGGCAGCAGUGGGGAAUAUUGGACAAUGGGCGAAAGCCUGAUCCAGCCAUGCCGCGUGUGUGAAGAAGGUCUUCGGAUUGUAAAGCACUUUAAGUUGGGAGGAAGGGCAGUUACCUAAUACGUGAUUGUUUUGACGUUACCGACAGAAUAAGCACCGGCUAACUCUGUGCCAGCAGCCGCGGUAAUACAGAGGGUGCAAGCGUUAAUCGGAAUUACUGGGCGUAAAGCGCGCGUAGGUGGUUAGUUAAGUUGGAUGUGAAAUCCCCGGGCUCAACCUGGGAACUGCAUUCAAAACUGACUGACUAGAGUAUGGUAGAGGGUGGUGGAAUUUCCUGUGUAGCGGUGAAAUGCGUAGAUAUAGGAAGGAAUCACCCAGUGGCGAAGGCGACCC
rnacentral:rRNA from 1 species